GACGAACGCUGGCGGCGUGCUUAACACAUGCAAGUCGAACGGAAAGGCCCAGCUUGCUGGGUACUCGAGUGGCGAACGGUGAGUAACACGUGGGUGAUCUGCCCCAAACUUCGGGAUAAGCCUGGGAAACUGGGUCUAAUACCGGAUAUGACCUGCUCCUGCAUGGGGGUUGGUGGAAAGCUUUUGCGGUUUGGGAUGGGCCCGCGGCCUAUCAGCUUGUUGGUGGGGUAAUGGCCUACCAAGGCGACGACGGGUAGCCGACCUGAGAGGGUGAUCGGCCACACUGGGACUGAGACACGGCCCAGACUCCUACGGGAGGCAGCAGUGGGGAAUAUUGCACAAUGGGCGCAAGCCUGAUGCAGCGACGCCGCGUGAGGGAUGACGGCC
rnacentral:rRNA from 1 species